rnacentral:rRNA from 1 species
UGGGGAGUACGGCCGCAAGGUUAAAACUCAAAUGAAUUGACGGGGGCCCGCACAAGCGGUGGAGCAUGUGGUUUAAUUUGAAGCAACGCGAAGAACCUUUCCAGGCCUUGACAUCCAAUGAACUUUCCAGAGAUGGAUUGGUGCCUUUGGGAACAUUGAGACAGGUGCUGCAUGGCUGUUGUCAGCUUGUGUCGUGAGAUGUUGGGUUAAGUCCCGUAACGAGCGCAACCCUUUUCCUUAGUUACCAGCACGUUAUGGUGGGCACUCUAAGGAGACUGCCGGUGACAAACCGGAGGAAGGUGGGGAUGACGUCAAGUCAUCAUGGCCCUUACGGCCUGGGCUACACACGUGCUACAAUGGUCGGUACAGAGGGUUGCCAAGCCGCGAGGUGGAGCUAAUCCCACAAAACCGAUCGUAGUCCGGAUCGCAGUCUGCAACUCGACUGCGUGAAGUCGGAAUCGCUAGUAAUCGCGAAUCAGAAUGUCGCGGUGAAUACGUUCCCGGGCCUUGUACACACCGCCCGUCACACCAUGGGAGUGGGUGCACCAGAA